UCGAGUCCGAUAGAGUGAGUGUGUGUGUGCGUUUGUGUGGUGGUGUCUGGAGUGCACAGUCUCACACAAACGCACACACACACUCACUCUAUCGGACUCGAGACU
rnacentral:pre_miRNA from 1 species